AGCCCCAUUUUGUUUCCGUUGUUGCAACGAGACUUCGUAGUCAGUACGUCCGCCAAUUUCAGUGGUUUCGUAUCGUGCGAAAGAGCUUCAUUAUUAGUUUGAGCUGAUCGCAAAUUGUGUAAACGUUCAGUAUGGUAGGGACAAGGGUCUAUGUCGGUGGGCUUCCAUACGGCACCAGGGAAAGAGACCUUGAGAGAUUUUUCAGAGGCUACGGUCGAUUCCGUGAUGUUCUGAUCAAGAAUGGUUAUGGCUUUGUUGAAUUUGAUGACUAUAGAGACGCCGACGACGCUGUGUACGAGCUAAACGGAAAGGAACUUUUAGGAGAAAGAAUUACUGUAGAGAGGGCCCGGGGGACACCUAGGGGUAGUGACCAGUGGCGCUAUGGUGACUCCCGUGGUGGUUAUGGGGACUCGAGGCGAUCUGCCCGAGACGAUAUGCGGCACGACAGAGAUAGUGUGAACAGAAACACGAGGACUGCAUCUAGCUACAAGCAAUCAUUGCCCAGAUAUGGACCACCAACACGCACCGAGUAUCGCCUCACCGUGGAGAAUUUGUCAAGCCGCGUUAGUUGGCAGAGCCAUGUCCUCUUCGCCGAGGAGGGGCGACCGGUAGGGCCAAUAGACUGAUGAUGUGCGAUGAUAGAGAUGACGAUGCACGCGAUGGGCUCGCCUUGAGGUCAAGUGGCACCAGGAUUUGAAGGAUUACAUGAGAAGUGCUGGAGAAGUAACAUAUGCUGACGCUCAUAAGCAACGUAGAAAUGAAGG
rnacentral:misc_RNA from 1 species